rnacentral:rRNA from 1 species
AUUGAACGCUGGCGGCAUGCCUUACACAUGCAAGUCGAACGGCAGCAUGAUCUAGCUUGCUAGAUUGAUGGCGAGUGGCGAACGGGUGAGUAAUACAUCGGAACGUGCCCUGUAGUGGGGGAUAACUAGUCGAAAGAUUAGCUACUACCGCAUACGACCUGAGGGUGAAAGUGGGGGACCGCAAGGCCUCAUGCUAUAGGAGCGGCCGAUGUCUGAUUAGCUAGUUGGUGAGGUAAAGGCUCACCAAGGCGACGAUCAGUAGCUGGUCUGAGAGGACGAUCAGCCACACUGGGACUGAGACACGGCCCAGACUCCUACGGGAGGCAGCAGUGGGGAAUUUUGGACAAUGGGCGAAAGGCUGAUCCAGCAAUGCCGGGUGUGUGAAGAAGGCCUUCGGGUUGUAAAGCACUUUUGGCCGGAAAGAAAUGGCUCUGGUUAAUACCUGGGGUCGAUGACGGUACCGGAAGAAUAAGGACCGGCUAACUACGUG